CCAAUACCUAUUUCUCCCUCCAGCCUUCACACUCUUGUAGUUUAAGAAUGAGAUAAUCUUGUAGCUGCUGGGAGUUUCCAUGAAGGGGGACUGGCCCAGGAAUGAGGUCAACCAGAGAAAAGUAGAGCCCUGAGAGAGGGACUAGGUCCUGAAGACUUCAUUUAAGACACAGGAUCCAGCCUUGCUUGAUGUCAUUACUCCUAGACUUUCACGUACAAGAGCCAAAAAAUUGUCUUUUCUUCCCCCUUAACCCAGGGCUCCUGCAACCAAAAGAACACUUGACUGUGGCAUCUUUCCAGCCUCCUGUUAGCAGCUAGGUAAGGUGCCCCCAUGGCAAGGAGCUGCGGGCAGCCUCAAGAAACUGGGUGGCCUCUUAGGACCUGAGGGCAGCCUCCAACAAGCAAGCAGCAAACCUCUGGGGCCUUCUGUUCUACAACUGCAAGGAAAUAAAUUCUGCCAACAGCCUGAAUGAGCACGGAAGUGAACUCUUUCUCAGUCGAGCCUCUGAAUGAGAACACAGUUCAACUCAUGCCUUGACUGCAGCUUGUGAGAGUCUGAGAAGAGGACCAGGAGCAACUCUAGUUGACUCUCCACUCCCACGCUGCAGGAAUUGACGGCGCACAGGGAACAGUUUCUACUGCUGUCCUUCCCGUUACCUCCUCCAAUGGGGCUUCAGUCACCACCUCUCUGGAAGGUGAUGAUGGUCGGCAGCUCCAUAUCGCCAGCCGUGACUCUGCCCUGAAAUCUAGCCCAAGGGAGCCAACUGCCUGUUUUGUCAGAUGAUUUCCUUGCUUCUGAGUCAUCUGGACGGAAUGAGGGAAGAGGGGAGCGAAGGGGAAGAGGAGGGAAGGGAGAAGACUAACAUAGCUUGCCUGGACCCCUCCACCAGUCAGGCUGGAUACCCUUCCACCAAUUAUUUCAGGUUAUCUAAUCUUCACAUCAAUUUUAUGGAGUGGAAACUAUAGCUGCCUCUAUGUCACAGAUGAAGAAACUGAGGCUCAAGAGGCAUCACUUGCUUCAGGUCAUGCCGCCAGUAGUCUCUGACACCGGAGACUGGACGUUUUCCAUAAACCUGGCCCCAGGCCACGCUGAACAUCAGUAGGACUCCAGGCAGAAUGUCUGGUCCUCAGCCCCUGGCCUGUCCCCAUCUCCUGUUGCCCCUGUCCUCAGCUCUAUCCUGUACCAGGAGGAGGGACCUUGCACACCGCAUGUGGGCACUUCAGUGGGCCCAUCCAGGCUCCAUCCACAGCACCCUCCCAUCAAGCAACAGCCAGCCCCUGGUCACCCCUCCAUCCUGGGGGAGUGUCAGAAGCCUGGGGGUGGGGCACACCUGGUAAGAGACCUGCGUGGGCCCUGAUGCAGACUCCAGGUCAGCACACUCCUAGCUCUGCGGACUGCUCACCCAUGAGUUGGGAUGGAGAUGGAGGAGGGCCGGGUGGGGUCUUAUGAAGCCCUGGGCUGAGGACAGGGUUCCAGCUGCCCAUCUGACGUUUCCUGAGCUCACUUCUUAAAUAAAGCAUUGCACUUGAAUCCCUGUCUCAGGAUCUGAGUCUGGGAGAUCCCAACUGAGAUGGCCAGAAGGAGUUUCGAAAGCAGCAGGACACCCUCAACCCCCCACCGCACCUCUUCCUGGGUGCCUCCUGUGGAAAGAAGCACCAGGUACCUCGAGCCACCAGGUCCCUUGCCACAUGAAGAGGCUCAGCCCUCUGCACCGCACCCCCGACUGUGACUUCAGUGUCAGCAGAGGCACCUACCUCCAGAGUACAUGUCAAAUGCCUUCUGUCCCAGCACAGCUCCCGUGGUUCCUAGGGGUUAAGAGGAGAACGAUUAUCCCCUGUAACACGUGUCAUUCUGCCUGUCGUUCUGCUGAAAAUGCCUAAUCUGUAGUCUAAGAUCUAAAAACAGAAUAAGAAUCUAAUGAAAUCAGGUCCUAUAAAGAGCACGCAGGACUAAAGUAGGUUUCCAGGAAUGGCUGGGCUCAUCUGAGAGGUUCAAGAACGUAAUGGCUGAGGACAUCUCUGGAAUCGAACUGAGUCUACUCAGUCUGAGUCGGUGUUCUGUCCUACCAGUUUCUAACGCAGGACUUAGCAUUUUGACCUCAAUUUUUGCAUCUGUACAAUGGGUUGUGGGAACUAAAGGAGAU
rnacentral:lncRNA from 1 species